UUAGUUAUCAAUUUAAUGCUAAUUUAGAUAUUAAACCAGAAUAGAUUAAAAAUAAAAAAUAAAAACUAAUAUAAAAAACAGUCUGUUGGACUACCAAGAAAAAAACAGAAAAUUAAACCCAGCCGCUUGGCUGUUGGGUUUUUCAAUGGGGUAUGAAUUGAAAAUAUAAAAAAACAUUUAUUAACCAAGACUUAGGAAGUUUAAACGUGUUUUUAAUGGUUUUCAAAAUUUAUUCUGUUAACAAAUAUAAAGAAACAAAUAAAAAGAAAAAAGAAAAAAAACAUGGGAACAGAAACCAUUCGUUGCCUCUGAGUUCUC
rnacentral:lncRNA from 1 species